rnacentral:rRNA from 1 species
UACGAAGGGGGCUAGCGUUGUUCGGAAUCACUGGGCGUAAAGCGCUCGUAGGCGGCUCUUUAAGUCAGAGGUGAAAUCCCAAGGCUCAACCUUGGAACUGCCUUUGAUACUGGGGAUCUCGAGUCCGGGAGAGGUGAGUGGAACUGCGAGUGUAGAGGUGAAAUUCGUAGAUAUUCGCAAGAACACCAGUGGCGAAGGCGGCUCACUGGCCCGGUACUGACGCUGAGGAGCGAAAGCGUGGGGAGCAAACAGG